CAGUCGCCACGGUAAUACGAAGGGGGCCAGCGUUGUUCGGAAUCACUGGGCGUAAAGCGCACGUAGGCGGAUACUUAAGUCAGGGGUGAAAUCCCGGGGCUCAACCUCGGGACUGCCUUUGAUACUGGGUAUCUUGAGUCCGGGAGAGGUUGGUGGAACUCCGAGUGUAGAGGUGAAAUUCGUAGAUAUUCGGAAGAACACCAGUGGCGAAGGCGGCCAACUGGCCCGGUACUGACGCUGAGGUGCGAAAGCGUGGGGAGCAAACAGGAUUAGAUACCCGUGUAGUCCCUGUCUCUUAUAU
rnacentral:rRNA from 1 species